rnacentral:lncRNA from 1 species
GGAAGCAAUGAUCAAAGAAGACAUUCAUUGAGACAGGUAGGGGAUAAGGGAGUGAAUAAGUAAAGUGCAGAUAAGUGAAGUGAACAGACAACAUGCUGGGCAGAAGUAUUCAAAUCUACUUAAAACAAAGGUCUAGCUCUUACUGUACUAAACCCCAAAAUAUAGUCAACCUCAUGGAAAGGUUUCAAAACUGUUAAGUAGCCAAGAAGUAGUACACAUGGAGAAAGAACAUGCAUUGAGAUGGGAGAGAGGAAUAGUGGAAAUUCAUGCUAAGUUGAAUUAAUAGGCCAGUAAAUAACAUGCUAAUGACAAAUAUAGAAACAAAACCACAGACAAAAGCACAUAAGAAAUAUUAUGAAUUGCAAAAUUCAUAGGAACAUGUUGUUUUAGAGACUGUAUUUCAAAUAGGUGACAUAGCAGUUGCAAAAAAUAGGAUAUAAUAGCAAUGUAAUAGUGCACAAAGGGAGAUCAAAGUGUGCAACGGAUGAGGGCACCAAUCUGGGAGUAUAAGCAGCAGGAAAAACAGUAGCAACAAUAUAAGAAUAGCAGCAGUAAUGUGAGAACAUCAACAGUAAUGUGAGAACAACAGCAGUAACAGACCCAAAUAGAACCCUACAGUCCAAAGUAACCUAUCAAGUUACUCAAUCUUGGAUGUUAGCCGAUUGAGUGUUCAAAGAAAGGAAUAAGAGAGUAUAGCAAUAGCAGAGAAAAAGAGAGUUCAGAGAGUUUUGAUUAUGAGCAGUGUGCGUUCUGUUUUCAAAAGAG